rnacentral:rRNA from 1 species
AUUGAACGCUGGCGGCAGGCUUAACACAUGCAAGUCGAACGGUAGCAGGAAGAAGCUUGCUUCUUUGCUGACGAGUGGCGGACGGGUGAGUAAUGUAUGGGGAUCUGCCGAUGGAGUGGGAUAACUGCUGGAAACGGUAGCUAAUACCGCAUGAUGUCGAAAGACCAAAGCAUGGGACCUUCGGGCCAUGCGCCAUUUGAUGAACCCAUAUGGGAUUAGCUAGUUGGUGGGGUAAUGGCCUACCAAGGCGACGAUCUCUAGCUGGUCUGAGAGGAUGGCCAGCCACACUGGGACUGAGACACGGCCCAGACUCUUACGGGAGGCAGCAGUGGGGAAUAUUGCACAAUGGGGGAAACCCUGAUGCAGCCAUGCCGCGUGUAUGAAGAAGGCCUUAGGGUUGUAAAGUACUUUCGUGGAGGAGGAAUGCUUAGCAUCUAAUAGGUGCUGAAAUUGACGUUACUCCAAGAAGAAGCACCGGCUAACUCCGUGCCAGCCGCCGCCGUAA